GUGAAGAUUGGUGGGGCGACGCACGUUCGGCUCCACGAUCGCCGUCUGGUCAAGCCGGUGAAAAGGGUGCUCUGUUCCGAUCAGGGGUCCUGGCU
rnacentral:tRNA from 1 species